rnacentral:lncRNA from 1 species
UCAAAUACAAACAUUUCAUAUUAUUUAACAUUCAUGUCAGAUAUUAUUUAUAAAGUCCCUUAUAUGAGCCAUCGAGGCUCAAAACAUACAUUAGAAACAAGUCGAGACUAAACUGGGUACUUAGAGAAUUUUUCGUGAAAUUUUAAAAUUUUUCCUUAGUGCAAGGGACACACGCCCGUGUGGUCAAGCUGCGUGGCUCACACGCCCGUGUGAGCAUUCGAAAUAGGGCACACAGCCAUGUUCCAGCCUAUGUCCGUACCCGUGUAACUCUCUGACUUGGGUCACACGCCCGUGUGCUAAGCCGUGUUUAGUUGCAAGGGUCACACGACCAAGCCACACACCUGUGUGCCAGGCAGUGUAAAAAAUCCUGAGCAUUCUGUUUAGAAUUUUAAAGAUGCAGGGGAAACACGCCCAAAACACACGCCCAUGUGCUAGGUCGUGUGUCACACACGGCUGAGAUACACGCCCGUGCCUCUGUUCGUGUGGACAAAAUAAGGUCAUUUCCAAGCCUUAUUUCUCACCCAAUUUAUCUUCCACCUACAUAAAUAUUUU